GACGAGCCUCACAAACGUUAUUCGGAAUUACUGGGCUUAAAGGGUGCGUAGGCGGCGCGGAAAGUUGGGUGUGAAAUCCCUCGGCUCAACCGAGGAACAGCGCUCAAAACUACCGUGCUCGAGGGAGAUAGAGGAAUGCGGAACUUAGGGUGGAGCGGUGAAAUGCGUUGAUAUCCUAGGGAACACCGGUGGCGAAAGCGGCAUUCUGGAUCUCUUCUGACGCUGAUGCACGAAAGCUAGGGUAGCAAACGGG
rnacentral:rRNA from 1 species